CGUUGGACUGCGCCAGCCAGGACGGCAUUGUCGGUGCCGCGCGCAAGAAGGUGUCCAAACGGACGCGUCCUUCACCAUCUCUCUGGUACGCCACAGAAGAGGAAUCGGCUGCCCUUGUGCCUGUCUCUGGUAUUGGCGGCGGCCGUAAGGCGCAAUGUCUCGAAGGGAGGUAUGGGCGGCCAGCGGUUCCAUGUCUUCCAUCUCGUCGCCUGGCACGUCGUAGCCCGCGGUGAUCCGCGCGAGCAACGCCUCUACUUGCUGGCGAGUCGUGGUCGGUUCUCCUCGAUCCCCAAAGGCGUCGACUGGCGUGUUGACCGCAUUUACCGGCCAAGGUUGUGACUGAGUUGAAUAAACAUUAACGUUGCGC
rnacentral:lncRNA from 1 species